AUAUACAGUACAUACACACAAAGCACAAGGCAGAGAUGUUUCUACGAGACGUUUCUCGAGGCUGCAGUUCCUCUGAGCUCCACAAGGUGGUGAUCUCACUUCUGCCCAGACAGGAAGUCUCUAUGGAAGACAGGAAGUGAUGUCAGGUAAAAAUAGGAAGUGGGGUGAGAGGAAUUAGAGAAGACAUCGAGAAUUAGAAGACAAGAGAAUUAUAUAGAGAAGACAUCACUGGAAUUGGCAGCAGAAGAGGGAAACCCACAUAGAUCACAUGAAUGAGGAUGGAGGAGGAUCAAAGUGAAAUGACUGAGAAGAUUCUAAACCUCACCCUGGAGAUCAUCUACCUGCUGACCGGAGAGAGAUUUCCUCUUGUGAAGUCAGGUGAUCAUAUGACCAUCA